rnacentral:rRNA from 1 species
UGAAGCCCUUCGGGGUGGAUGAGUGGCGAACGGGUGAGUAACACGUGGGCAACCUGCCCUGCACUCUGGGAUAACUUCGGGAAACCGGAGCUAAUACCGGAUAACAUCCUCCUCCGCAUGGUGGGGGGUUGAAAGUUCCGGCGGUGCAGGAUGGGCCCGCGGCCUAUCAGCUUGUUGGUGGGGUAGUGGCCUACCAAGGCGACGACGGGUAGCCGGCCUGAGAGGGCGACCGGCCACACUGGGACUGAGACACGGCCCAGACUCCUACGGGAGGCAGCAGUGGGGAAUAUUGCGCAAUGGGCGAAAGCCUGACGCAGCGACGCCGCGUGAGGGAUGACGGCCUUCGGGUUGUAAACCUCUUUCAGCAGGGAAGAAGCGCAAGUGACGGUACCUGCAGAAGAAGCACCGGCUAACUACGUGCCAGCAGCCGCGGUAAUACGUAGGGUGCGAGCGUUGUCCGGAAUUAUUGGGCGUAAAGAGCUCGUAGGCGGCCUGUCGCGUCGGAUGUGAAAACUCGGGGCUUAACCCCGAGCCUGCAUUCGAUACGGGCAGGCUAGAGUUCGGCAGGGGAGACUGGAAUUCCUGGUGUAGCGGUGAAAUGCGCAGAUAUCAGGAGGAACACCGGGUGGCGAAGGCGGGUCUCUGGGCCGAUACUGACGCUGAGGAGCGAAAAGCGUGGGGAGCGAACAGGAUUAGAUACCCUGGUAGUCCACGCCGUAAACGUUGGGAACUAGGUGUGGGCGACAUUCCAACGUCGUCCGUGCC